ensembl:snRNA U6 U6 spliceosomal RNA
CUGCUUGCCUCGGCAGCACAUAUACCAAAAUGGAAAUGAUACAGAGAAGACUGGCAUGGCUCUUAUGCAAGAAUGACAUGCAAAUACAUGAAGUGUUCCAUUAAAAG